GACUCUGAGCUCCCGCUCGGCCGUGUGGCCGGGCCGUCGUCGGGAGGGCUCGCUCCAGGCAGGGCCGGGCCCAUUAAACACCGUCGUAGUAGCCUGAGAUCACAACACAACGCUCCAUCUCUGCAGAGCCUAGAACAGGGGGCUCCUAGCCGGACCCUCCGUUUCAGGUACAUGUGGAGCCAGAAACCUCAGUGCCCCCCCCCCCGCUGUAACGUAGCUGGGCCAGGAUCCUCCCGGCCAGCCUGAGCUGCUCUCCGGAAGCAGGCCAAACCUGGCCUUUGCUAAGCACAUUUCACGCAGCUUCAGGUGUCACCUGCCCUACGGGUCCCCUGUAGACUUGCGUUUCAAAGGCAGUAGAAGGAUCCUAAAUCACUUUCAGGAGCUAUGGAGCAGAACCACUGACAGUGAGUCCCCCAGAGAAAGGUACUGGCCUGCUGCAACUUUGCCUUUUGGCUACCCUACCAGAGCCAUUGCACCAGGGCUAUGGGAAAGGCCAGGGUUGUUUUGCUAGAGUGGGGGCAGCGGCAGAGAGAGAGCCCGGAGGAAGCAGUGAAAUGAAAUCUGCUCUGGCGUGUAAAUAGAACAGAUACAUUCCUAGGGCAGCAAAAUAUUAUGAACAGUCAAUUUAAUAACAGUUUACUGUGAGAGAGAUUUUGAGGCUACAAGGGGCAUACACUUUCUAAUUUUAGAUGAAUAGAUUUCAGGACCAGAAGGGACAAUAGUGAUCCUGCGUAACACAGGCUACUGGAGAUACCAUCAUGAUUUGUGGGAUCCCAAACAAUAAUAAUCUCACAAAGCCUCCAGAAGCAUGGGACAGACCCCUUUGAUCCUAUUGGUGGAGAGCUGGGAGUGGUGAAACUAGGCCAUGCGUUACUGAGGCUAUGGUUUUCACCUGAUCUUGAAAUCAACUGUAAUGCAUGGCACCAGCAUAGUGAGACGAGAUGGGCCAUCCAGCUCUGCCCAGCCUGAGAAGGAUCAGCGAAUGAGAGGGACCUGACCAG